rnacentral:rRNA from 1 species
GAUGAACGCUGGCGGCGUGCCUAAUACAUGCAAGUCGAGCGAACAGACGAGGGUCUUGCUCCACUGACGUUAGCGGCGGACGGGUGAGUAACACGUGGAUAACCUACCUAUAAUACUGGGAUAACUUCGGGAAACCGGAGCUAAUACCGGAUAAUAUAUUUAACCGCAUGGUUCCAUAGUUAAAGACGGUUUUGCUGUCACUUAUAGGUGGAUCCGCGCCGCAUUAGCUAGGUGGUAAGGUAACGGCAUACCAAGGCAACGAUGCGUAGCCGACCUGAGAGGGGGGUCGGCCACACUGGAACUGAGACACGGUCCAGACUCCUACGGGAGGCAGCAGAGGGGUAUGUUACGCAAAGGGCGGAAGGCUAGCGGAGCAACGCCGCGUGAGUGAUGAAAGUCUUCGGAUCGUAAUACUCUGUUAUUAGGGAGGAACAAAUGUGUAAGUAACGAGGCACGUCUUGACGGUACCUAAUCAGAAAGCCCCGGCUAACUACGUG